UAUGUAGGCGGUUCGGAAAGUCAGGUGUGAAAGCCCGGGGCUCAACCCCGGAACUGCACCCGAUACUCCCGGACUAGAGUAAUGGAGGGGAGUCUGGAAUUCACGGUGUAGCAGUGAAAUGCGUGGAUAUCGUGAGGAACACUAGUGGCGAAGGCGAGACUCUGGACAUUUACUGACGCUGAGAUACGAAGGCCAGGGUAGCGAACG
rnacentral:rRNA from 1 species